rnacentral:lncRNA from 1 species
UCUUCCCCAAAGUAAACCUAUUGCAAAAACCCCUUCCAUCUAAUAAUAGCAACUCAAGGUCCAGAACAACAAAGAACAGCUGAUCGACUAAUCCAGAGGCCAAACUUCUAACCUCAAAAUGGUCCCAUGGAGUUUCAUACAUUUUCCAGAGUUACAAAACCUGGCUAACACUGAGUCAAGUUAGGAAUCUCAAUCAAUGUCUUUGACCAACUUAAAGUGUUUGUAGAAUGUUUGAUGUACCUAAGAGUGAGUAAAAUGUGAAAGUCAGUUGCUGGAAUUGGUUGAAUGAGAGUGUCGGGUGAAGAAGGCAAGACAUGCAACAGAGGAAGAGGAAUGUGUCAUCCAAGAGGGGAAAAGAGAAAUACUAUUACUAUCUGUUGUCUUGGUGGUUCUCAUGAGGAGUGAAAGGAGAAUUGCUAACCUGGAAGAAGAUCAGAGAAACACACUAUACAGUCCUGCAGUCCUUCACCAAGUAGCAUGGGAUAGAAGCUCUGAACAUCAGCAUAAUUUUGAGGCCUAAAGUGUAAGAAUUGCUAGAAAUGCUGUGGUAUUAUUAAUUA